GCAUAUCAAUAAGCGGAGGAAAAGAAACCAACAGGGAUUGCCCUAGUAACGGCGAGUGAAGCGGCAACAGCUCAAAUUUGAAAUCUGGCUCUUUUAGAGUCCGAGUUGUAAUUUGCAGAGGGCGCUUUGGCUUUGGCAGCGGUCCAAGUUCCUUGGAACAGGACGUCACAGAGGGUGAGAAUCCCGUACGUGGUCGCUGGCUAUUGCCGUGUAAAGCCCCUUCGACGAGUCGAGUUGUUUGGGAAUGCAGCUCUAAAUGGGAGGUACAUUUCUUCUAAAGCUAAAUAUUGGCCAGAGACCGAUAGCGCACAAGUAGAGUGAUCGAAAGAUGAAAAGCACUUUGGAAAGAGAGUCAAACAGCACGUGAAAUUGUUGAAAGGGAAGCGCUUGCAGCCAGACUUGCUUGCAGUUGCUCAUCCGGGCUUUUGCCCGGUGCACUCUUCUGUAGGCAGGCCAGCAUCAGUUUGGGCGGUGGGAUAAAGGUCUCUGUCACGUACCUCUCUUCGGGGAGGCCUUAUAGGGGAGACGACAUACCACCAGCCUGGACUGAGGUCCGCGCAUCUGCUAGGAUGCUGGCGUAAUGGCUGUAAGCGGCCCGUCUUGAAACACGGACCAAGGAGUCUAACAUCUAUGCGAGUGUUUGGGUGUCAAGCCCGAGCGCGUAAUGAAAGUGAACGGAGGUGGGAACCCGCAAGGGUGCACCAUCGACCGAUCCUGAUGUCUUCGGAAGGAUUUGAGUAAGAGCAUGGCUGUUGGGACCCGAAAGAUGGUGAACUAUGCUUGAAUAGGGUGAAGCCAGAGGAAACUCUGGUGGAGGCUCGCAGCGGUUCUGACGUGCAAAUCGAUCGUCAAAUUUGGGCAUAGGGGCGAAAGACUAAUCGAACUAUCUAGUAGCUGGUUCCUGCA
rnacentral:rRNA from 1 species